rnacentral:misc_RNA from 1 species
UUAAUCUAGGUUCGCCGCAGUUGACUCACUUAGCUUGAUAGAUUAGCGUAUAUUAUAUGUAUUGCAAACAAGCUGUUAUCAGUUGAAUUCAAAGGGGUCGCAAGUCAGUACCGUCCCAACCUCCGACCGGGAUGGAUUUUUUGACGUUGUCUUCGUGUCCAUUGUUCUGCUCAUUUCCCGGAACAUCUUAGAUCUGCUGUUCAACGAUCAGCUCAGCACGUUACCCUGAUCGACAAGAACUGCUGAACAGCACUGGAAGCAAGUGGUGAUUCCACUGUAGACAGCGUUCCAUUUCAACAUUUUGUCGAAAUUCCUGAACACGUUUCAAGAGGAGGAGUGUGCAAAGCUAGUGCAGCGAUUGAACAAGGAAAACGACUUCACUGCAACCAGUUGGCGGCACGCUUCCACGCUGAAUACAAUCUGCGGGCAACGCUUCGCCAUGCUGGAGCUGAAAUCGAUUCUUACCGCCGUGCUGCGCGAAUUUCGUGUCCUUCCGGUGACAAAGCGCGACGAGAUCGUGUUUGUUGCCGAUAUGGUGCUGCGCGCGCGGGAUCCCAUCAAGGUCAAGUUUGAGCGGAGAAAUGUUUGAUUUAUUUGCUUAUGUGCUGUGCUAUUUUGAUUUUCUUGAAUAAAAUUUCAUGAAAUUUUUGGUA